UACGUAGGUCCCGAGCGUUGUCCGGAUUUAUUGGGCGUAAAGCGAGCGCAGGUGGUUUAUUAAGUCUGGUGUAAAAGGCAGUGGCUCAACCAUUGUAUGCAUUGGAAACUGAUAGACUUGAGUGCAGGAGAGGAGAGUGGAAUUCCAUGUGUAGCGGUGAAAUGCGUAGAUAUAUGGAGGAACACCGGUGGCGAAAGCGGCUCUCUGGCCUGUAACUGACACUGAGGCUCGAAAGCGUGGGGAGCAAACAGG
rnacentral:rRNA from 1 species